AGAGUUUGAUCAUGGCUCAGAUUGAACGCUGGCGGCAUGCCUUACACAUGCAAGUCGAACGGUAACGGGCCUUCGGGUGCCGACGAGUGGCGAACGGGUGAGUAAUAUAUCGGAACGUGCCCAAUCGUGGGGGAUAGCCCGGCGAAAGCCGGAUUAAUACCGCAUACGACCUGAGGGUGAAAGCGGGGGAUCUUCGGACCUCGCGCGAUUGGAUCGGCCGAUAUCAGAUUAGGUAGUUGGUGGGGUAAAGGCUUACCAAGCCUACGAUCUGUAGCUGGUCUGAGAGGACGACCAGCCACACUGGGACUGAGACACGGCCCAGACUCCUACGGGAGGCAGCAGUGGGGAAUUUUGGACAAUGGGCGAAAGCCUGAUCCGGCCAUGCCGCGUGAGUGAAGAAGGCCUUCGGGUUGUAAAGCUCUUUCAGACGGAAAGAAAUCGCAUCUUCUAAUACAGGGUGUGGAUGACGGUACCGUAAGAAGAAGCACCGGCUAACUACGUGCCAGCAGCCGCGGUAAUACGUAGGGUGCGAGCGUUAAUCGGAAUUACUGGGCGUAAAGCGUGCGCAGGCGGUGAUGUAAGACAGAUGUGAAAUCCCCGGGCUCAACCUGGGAACUGCGUUUGUGACUGCAUCACUCGAGUACGGCAGAGGGAGGUGGAAUUCCGCGUGUAGCAGUGAAAUGCGUAGAUAUGCGGAGGAACACCGAUGGCGAAGGCAGCCUCCUGGGCCAGUACUGACGCUCAUGCACGAAAGCGUGGGGAGCAAACAGGAUUAGAUACCCCGGUAGU
rnacentral:rRNA from 1 species